AUUGAGGUGGCAGAGCCUGGUACAAAAUGCAAAAGGCCUAAGCCCUUUACUCAGGGGUUCAAAUCCCCUCCCCAAUA
rnacentral:tRNA from 1 species